rnacentral:rRNA from 1 species
UACGGGGGGGGCAAGCGUUGUUCGGAAUUACUGGGCGUAAAGGGCGCGUAGGCGGCCAUCUAAGUCAGACGUGAAAUCCCCCGGCUUAACCUGGGAACUGCGUCUGAUACUGGAAGGCUUGAGUAUGGGAGAGGGAUGUAGAAUUCCAGGUGUAGCGGUGAAAUGCGCAGAUAUCAGGAGGAACACCGAUGGCGGAGGCAGCUCGCUGGGACGGUACUGACGCUGAGGAGCGAAAGCGUGGGGAGCGAACAGG